GCGGUCACAUUCCAGCCAAUCAGCAGCAGACCCUCCCUCCCAGACCCUCCCACCUCCUGGAGAGCAUCCAUUUUACAUUCAUUGUGAAGCUGCAUUCUUAGUGAGCUGUCCAGGAGGUGGGAGAGUCUGGGAGGGAGGGUCUGCUGCUGAUUGGCUGGAAUGUGUCUG
rnacentral:miRNA from 1 species